AUAUGAACCGUUAUAACCGGCGAUGUCCGAAUGGGGAAACCCAGUGCAAUUCGUUGCACUAUCGUUAACUGAAUACAUAGGUUAACGAGGCGAACCGGGGGAACUGAAACAUCUAAGUACCCCGAGGAAAAGAAAUCAACCGAGAUUCCCCCAGUAGCGGCGAGCGAACGGGGAGCAGCCCAGAGUCUGAAUCAGCUUGUGUGUUAGUGGAACGGUCUGGAAAGUCCGACGGUACAGGGUGAUAGUCCCGUACACCAAAAUGCACAGGUUGUGAACUCGAAGAGUAGGGCGGGACACGUGGUAUCCUGUCUGAAUAUGGGGGGACCAUCCUCCAAGGCUAAAUACUCCUGACUGACCGAUAGUGAACCAGUACCGUGAGGGAAAGGCGAAAAGAACCCCGGCGAGGGGAGUGAAAAAGAACCUGAAACCGUGUACGUACAAGCAGUGGGAGCACCUUCGGGUGUGACUGCGUACCUUUUGUAUAAUGGGUCAGCGACUUAUAUUCUGUAGCAAGGUUAACCGUAUAGGGGAGCCGCAGGGAAACCGAGUCUUAACUGGGCGUUAAGUUGCAGGGUAUAGACCCGAAACCCGGUGAUCUAGCCAUGGGCAGGUUGAAGGUUGGGUAACACUAACUGGAGGACCGAACCGACUAAUGUUGAAAAAUUAGCGGAUGACUUGUGGCUGGGGGUGAAAGGCCAAUCAAACCGGGAGAUAGCUGGUUCUCCCCGAAAGCUAUUUAGGUAGCGCCUCGUGAAUUCAUCUUCGGGGGUAGAGCACUGUUUCGGCUAGGGGGUCAUCCCGACUUACCAACCCGAUGCAAACUACGAAUACCGAAGAAUGUUAUCACGGGAGACACACGGCGGGUGCUAACGUCCGUCGUGAAGAGGGAAACAACCCAGACCGCCAGCUAAGGUCCCAAAGUCAUGGUUAAGUGGGAAACGAUGUGGGAAGGCACAGACAGCCAGGAUGUUGGCUUAGAAGCAGCCAUCAUUUAAAGAAAGCGUAAUAGCUCACUGGUCGAGUCGGCCUGCGCGGAAGAUGUAACGGGGCUAAACCAUGCACCGAAGCUGCGGCAGCGACACUAUGUGUUGUUGGGUAGGGGAGCG
rnacentral:rRNA from 1 species